ACCUCAGGUGUGAGGGGACAGGAGGGUCCCCAAAAUGGCGGGAAGGGGUGAAGGGGCUCAGGACCCUCAGGGGGUGAGGAUGAAGGUCCCAGCUUGGGGUGUGAGGGGACAGGAGGGUCCCCAAAAUGGCGGGAAGGAGUGAAACCCUCAGGGGAUGAAGAUGAGGGGACAGGAGGGUCCCUCCCUGGGAGGUGACACAGGAAGGUCCCACCUCAGGUAUGAGGGUCCCCAAAAUGGUGGGAAGGGGUGAAGAAGGAGCCAGAGCCCUCAGGGGGUGACACAGGAAGGUCCCACCUCAGUUGUGAGGGGACAGGAGGGUCCCCAAAAUGGCGGGAAGGGGUGAAGGGGCUCAGGACCCUCAGGGGGUGAGGAUGAAGGUCCCAGCUUGGGUUGUGAGGGGACAGGAGGGUCCCCAAAAUGGCGGGAAGGGGUGAAGCCCUCAGGGGAUGAAGAUGAGGGGACAGGAGGGUCCCUCCCUGGGAGGUGACACAGGAAGGUCCCACCUCAGGUAUGAGGGUCCUCAAAAUGGCGGGAAGAGCUGAAGAAGGAACCAACCCUCAGUCCCUCCCUCAGCGCCGCCAUUGCUUCCCCU